UGUGGAUGCAUCAGUGCCAUUCCUCCAGAUGGGGUUUAUUGCCAGUCUGUUGAUCAAUACAACUUUACAGCUUGUCCUGUGACAACACCCUCUCCUUCACCAACAAGUCCACCCAUUGUUUAUGAAUACCUCAUUUCUGUUGAGUUGAACAUCUCAGAUGUGACAGAAGUAAAUCAAC